CAGGGUGCUCGCUUUGGCGCUAAAAUUGGAAAGAUACAGAGAAGGUUAGCAUUGGUCCUGUGAAAGGAUGACUUGCAAAUUCAUGAAACUUCCCAUAAGAAA